CAAGCUGCUGCUGCUUACUCAGAGUAUAGCAGUCAGCUCUCUGCACUAUGAUCUGUCAACCAUGCGUGUAGGAAGCAAAUUUCUCCAAAUCAACAUAUGUUCCCAGGAAGAAGCGUCAGCACAAGAUCCUGCUGGUAGGUGGGGAGAAGCAGAAUGCAACUGACAUUGCUUGUCCGGUGAACUUUACUGCAACAGACUCAGGGCAAACCAUGAUUUCAAUCAGAAUUGCUAAAUAAAUUAGUAGGCAGCAGGAUGCUUGUUAAUUCCCGUCCAUAUGCCAAGAGCCAGAUCCAAGGUCCAUUAAAAGCUGUAGGAGUAUUUCAGCAGAUUUCAAUGAGAAUUUGAUUAUUCUCACUGAAAGCAAGAAUAAGAAUAAGAAUAAUCAGCUGCUAGCCAGAUCUGUACAGGAAGGGUUUGCUGCAUAACUGUGUAUCUCGUAAUUGAGGAAUGUAUUGUGCAAUGCCAUCUCAGUGGAUCUCAAGGGAUGCUAUUGUCUCACAUGGCAUUUUGUUGUCUCUACCACAAACACUGCCUGAAGAACUCAGUUUUAUUUGCCUAGUGACAUUCUUCCCAAUAAAAGGUUCUGCAUAAAAUGACCCUUCAGUUCUCAGUGAGUGCACUGGAGAAUAAGAAUGCAAAUUGCUAAAGUGAAAUUGAAAGUGGCAGGAUACCAUAACUACUAAGUUAAUUGCACUUAUAUUAGAAUUUAUAUGGAUGCACAUUAGAAUGAUUAAUGCAGCUAGUCUUCUGUGUUUCAUAGCCAAACUUUCUUAUAUACAGCAAGAGAUAAUGUGUCUACUAAACUCCUAUAUGUUGAUCUCUAGGAAUUUGCAAAAGUGUCAUGUAGUUGCAGUUACCAGGAGAUAGGAUGGUCACUUCAGAUUAAAUAUGUGGCUGACCUGCAAAAUAAACCUACACAUGUCUAUUCAGUAGUACCGUAAGUCCCACUGAACUCAGUGGGAUAUAUGCUACUUAUAUGUGAACAGGACUGCAGUCCUAAAGCAACUGUGCAAGUCAAAAUUCAUCUUAGAAACUUCUAAGUAUGAUAUUUGUUGCAGCAUCCAGAGCCCUCACCUGAUCUUAAACCCAGACUCAACAAUCAGUGAUAGCACAUUUACCUAAGAUGCAUCUCAUUCUUCAGUAUGCACACACAACCCUCCCUCUCCACAUGCCCUGCACACUCCCCUUAUCAGCACUGGAGGGCUGGAGCAACCCAUAGAACAGAUUUGUGGGGCAAGGAGCAAUGACAUGGGGGGAAGUUCCAUUGUGCAGAAAUCUUUGUGCUAUCACAACUACUUAUUUCACUUUACAGUGAUACCUUGGACGUCGAACGCCUUGUGACUCAAAAGUUUUGGCUCCUGAAUGCCACAAACCCGGAAGUGAGUGUUCCAGUUUGUGAACGUUCUUUGGAACCCGAAUGCCCGAUGCGGCUUCCGUGGCUUCCAACUGAGUGCAGGAGCUUCCUGCAGCCAAUUGGAAUCUGCGCCUUGGUCAAAUGGACUUCCAAGGUACGACUGUACACUGGAUACGACCCAAAAUUAUCCUUUUGAGACUGGACCUCUCCUCUGCAGCACUGAGCUACUUGGAAAUGAGAGUACCUCAAAAAAUUUGCACACCACUGCAUCCAGUCCUGGGCCAGAGACUGUGACUUCAAGCCCCCUGGAGGGGAAGGGCUUCAAGGACUUUGCCUGUUUCAGAUUUUAAAAGCAGUUAUAUAUGUGAAUUGCAUAGCCUGAUGUAAAAGAAUUAUUGCACAUUAAUAAGAGUUAUAUAUAAGAGGUUUGUUCAGCAGAAGCAAUUUGCUGCUGAAAUGUCUUCUUCUAUGAAACUACUGAUGGUUCAACUGCCUUGCUCUCUUUUGUAUUUGGCCAACCUGUAUGUACAGCUGUCAAGGCCAGUCCACCCUUGAGGUGGGAUUAGGCAGCCGCCUUUGGUGGCAGAACACCAAGAGGCAGCGCCCUAGGGCUGGCAGAGAAUUGGCGGUAGUGGCAGCUUCUGGUGAAAUCUUCCAAGAUCUUGCAAAAAAAUUGUGAGAUCUUGUGUGCUCUAUGACACAUUGCAGGAGCUUCACGAAAUCUCAUGCUAUCCCACCAGAAUGCACCGUCAAGUUUUGGGAGGGGCAAGUUGGGUCAGCACCUUUCUGCCUUAGGCUUCUCUGACACCUGUAUACAUUACUGGUUGCAGAGUAAUCUCCACGCUGGGCAAUUUGGAGUUGUCUUGUGCUGUACUUUACUUUUUUAAAACAAGAAGUAAGAUUUGUGAUGCAUAUCCCUUCUUCGGCCUGAUUCAUAUAUAUAUAUAUUGCACUGCAUCAGCCUCAUAGUUAUGGUCAUUUCCCCUUUAACACAAAUUACAAUCCGUGGAAAACAAGCACAAACCAUAGUUUGCCUGUUCUGAUUAAUGGUUUGCACUAAACAGCAGGGAACAAAUUUAUAUCUGAGAGCACAGGGAAGGAUGGGGUGUGCAAGCACAAGGACCAGUGCUUUCCCCCCCUUAAAAAGUGUUUAGGGGUACUCUCAUUUUGACUCAAGAAAAUCACCAUGUUAUAGUUGGGAAAAAUAAAUACAGUAAAUGGACAAAAGUACAAAGCUUCACAAAAUGUUUAGGGGUAUGCGUACUCCUGCGUCCCCCCCCCCCCCCCGGAAAAAAGCACUGACAAGGACCAUUCAUGCAGUACCAAAUUAUGGCUUGUUGUUACAUCUGAACUGUGCUUCUCACUUCAGCAAAAGUGGACACUUGAAAACAAUCGAUUAUUUUAAAGAAGCAAGUGUUGGCUGAAAGUCUGCAACACUCAAUUACAGCGGCUAUCCUAGACAUACUCUCUCUAGUUGAAGGAAAACCUUGCCAAAUCCCCUUCAGUCCGCUCCUUCCAAAAGAGCCAAUAAUAUAUCCACUUUCACAUUUGGCAUAAAAGCAUUAAUUGCCUGAUGAAUAUUGCAGAACAGGAGAAAUAACUGCUUGCGGGGUGGUCUUAAAUGAAACUGGAAUGUUUUCCUUCAGAUGCAGCAUCGACAGCUGUUGUUGCUCUGUCUGGGUGAACAUCCAUUUCAGAAUUCUCAGAUCCUUGACAAAAACACCAUCACAGGAGAAAUUAACAUCUCUUCCACCACAGCUUAAUUUUCUGAAUAACAACAACAAAAAACAACCACCCCCAAAAUGCACAGCUGGCUGUAAAGAUAGACAAUUCUAUAAAUGCCUUCUACAAUGUGCUUGAAAUGAACUUUCCCCCCUUUUUGCUUUGUAUAAACUAUUUUGCUUUGAAAGAACAUUAUGACCUAUUGGGGCAAACAUGCUAGAAGCAUUUCAGUAACUACAUAAACAUUACAUUCACCAAAUUUAGCAGCUCAUCUGGCUUCUACAGUGUGAGAACGCAAAGGUACAUUCUGUCAUCUGUUCCUCUGCACUUGCGUUGUACUUUGCAUUAAACAGAAGUACACAUUUUAUUCUGCCCAUGAUUUAGCAAACACUUUAUAUAAUCAUCAGUGUAUGUGUGGCUAAAUGUGUUUAAACAUUUGCAAGACAGAGCCUUGUUACUUGUCACAGCAUAGGGCAAUUAUGUGGAAUAUAAUCUUAUAGAAUGGUUUUUGCUUGAAGGAAUGAUGCUAUGUCUGUUGUCGCACUAGUAAUAAUAACACUUAACAUUUGUACAGCACUUUUAUUAUCUUCCAUGCUGUUGAAGGGGAGCUGAGGCUAAGAGAGAAUGGCUUCCCUAGGGCCACCUAGGAGUUCCUAGCAGAGUUGAGAGUCACACUGAGAACAUUCUGAUUCACAGCUCAGUUUCUCAGACUACAAAAGCUCUAGUUCUGUGAUUUGGGAACAUGCAGGCACAAGCACACAUACACAACCCUAUAGUGACAUACUUCAAAUAAUGUCCCUGCAUCCUCAUAUGUCAGAUCAUCACAGAUCCAUAGGAGAACCACCUUUGUGACAGAUUCUUUUUAGCACCAUCCCUGACAUAGCUCUAUAUGCUGUUUUUCAUCUAAGCACUUCAUGUUUGAGGCCUUUUCUUUUCUUUUUUAGGUCCACAUGGGAUAGUCCACAAAACGGCUUUUCACCUUUCCUGCCGCUCCCAUGCAGGAAGUGUCCUUAAAGAAAAGAGCUGGUUGGACGGGCUCCAGUGUUUCUCAGGAAUUCUAACAGAACAACAGCAACUCUGGUGCAUGUGUGCUGUCAUCUAGACCAGAGGGUAUCUCAGGCUUUGUUCUAAACCUAGCUAUGUUUGAAAAAUAAAAGUAUUCUGGUUACAUUUGAUAGGAUAGCCUAACUCAAGAUGGCUAUAUAUGUAUUAGCAGAGGCGGAGCUAGCUGCUCCAGCUAUGUACCCAGGGGUGGGGCUAGCCACCCGCAGGAGCAGGGUGAGCAUCCCAGGGGGGCGGUGCCCACAACAAGCGCCCCAGGGGAUGACACCCAGGGCAAACUGCAGCCACCGCACCCCCCUUCCUCCACCAGUGGGUAUUAGAAGUCAAACUGGGAUCUGCAAAAGCAUUUGAAGGCUUUAAAAACCCUCAAGUUUCAAAAGAAUUCUCUAAGAGAUGGAAUUCACUCUACUGCCUACGACCCAGCCUCCAAAGGGACGUGAAACUCAUCUUGGGUCAAAAGCUGCCAGCCAUUUCUUUAAAAUUAAUGAAUUCUGUUCUCAAUCAUGAUGUUACUGUUUUAUGGAACUGUUCAGAUGUUCUGUACAUGGAUCUUGGAACCCAGUUGGCCAAGAGGAGGUCAUAUAAACUUAUGAUUAUUAAACUGGAAUGACUAU
rnacentral:lncRNA from 1 species